rnacentral:rRNA from 1 species
ACGGGUGAGUAACACGUGGGUGAUCUGCCCUGCACUUCGGGAUAAGCCUGGGAAACUGGGUCUAAUACCGGAUAUGACCUCCUAUCGCAUGGUGGGUGGUGGAAAGAUUUAUCGGUGCAGGAUGGGCCCGCGGCCUAUCAGCUUGUUGGUGGGGUAAUGGCCUACCAAGGCGACGACGGGUAGCCGACCUGAGAGGGUGACCGGCCACACUGGGACUGAGACACGGCCCAGACUCCUACGGGAGGCAGCAGUGGGGAAUAUUGCACAAUGGGCGAAAGCCUGAUGCAGCGACGCCGCGUGAGGGAUGACGGCCUUCGGGUUGUAAACCUCUUUCACCAGGGACGAAGCGCAAGUGACGGUACCUGCACAAGAAGCACCGGCUAACUACGUGCCAGCAGCCGCGGUAAUACGUAUGGUGCAAGCGUUGUCCGGAAUUACUGGGCGUAAAGAGUUCGUAGGCGGUUUGUCGCGUCGUUUGUGAAAACCAGCAGCUCAACUGCUGGCUUGCAGGCGAUACGGGCAGACUUGAGUACUGCAGGGGAGACUGGAAUUCCUGGUGUAGCGGUGAAAUGCGCAUAUAUCAAGAGGAACACCGGUGGCGAAGGCGGGUCUCUGGGCAGUAACUGACGCUGAGGAACGAAAGCGUGGGUAGCGAACAGGAUUAGAUACCCUGGUAGUCCACGCCGUAAACGGUGGGCGCUAGGUGUGGGUUCCUUCCACGGAAUCCGUGCCGUAGCUAACGCAUUAAGCGCCCCGCCUGGGGAGUACGGCCGCAAGGCUAAAACUCAAAGGAAUUGACAGGGGCCCGCACCAGCGGCGGAGCAUGUGGAUUAAUUCGAUGCAACGCGAAGAACCUUACCUGGGUUUGACAUAUACCGGAAAGCUGCAGAGAUGUGGCCCCCCUUGUGGUCGG